GGAGCUGCCAUCUAUUCUGCAGUGGCAGAACGGUGAUGAGGAGGGUGACCAGAAAUGUAUCUGUAGGAGACACUUCAACAGAAGAGUCCUGACUAAAGGCACUAAGCUAUCAUCUUGAAGGAUGGGGACUGUCAGUCCACUGAAGACUUUAAGAGAACAAAAGAGCAGAGGAAGAGAGGACUCUUGCCUGACUACUCAAGCUGGGGUACCACCAUCUGUGACAUUUCCACCUCGACCAAAAGAAAAUAUUUUCAACCAAAGCAUAGAAAAAAACUUCCCCUACCUAAAGAAAGAAACACCUAUAAACAUAAAAGAUGCCUACAGAAUACCAAAUAGAUUUGACCAGAAAGAAAAUACUCUUGUCACACAGUAAUCAAAACACUAAAAGUACAGAACAAAGAAAGAAUAUUAAAAGCUGCAUGGGAAAAAGGCCAAGUCAAACCUAUCAGAAUUACACCUGACUUCUGAAAAGAAACUAUGAAAGCGAAAAGGGCCUGGAAAGAUUCAUGCAGACACUAAGAGAACAUGGAUGUCAACCCAGACUACUAUACACAGCAAAGUUUCAAUUGCCAUAGAUGGUGAAAACAAGAUAUUCCAUGACAAAACCAUGUUUAAACAGUGCCUAGCCACAAAUCCAGCUCUGCAGAAGAUGCUAGAAGGAAAACUCCAACCCCAGGAGGCUAAAUACAACAGGGACAACACAGGAAACAAAUAACUCUACAACUGCAGAACCAAAAGAAAGGAAGCACACACACAUUCUCUACCACUAACAACAUAAAAAUAACAGGAAGUAACAACAACUUUAAUAUCUCUCAAAAUCAAUGGCCUCAACUCCCCAAUAAAAAGACACAGGCUAACCGAAUGGAUAUAUAAAUAGGACCCAUCAUUCUACUGCAUACAAGAAACACCUCUCAGCAAUAAUGAUAGACAUUACCUCAAAAUAAAGUGUUAGAAAAGGUUUUUCAAGCAAACGGACAAAAAAAAAAAAAACAAAAAAAAAACAAAAAAAAAAACAAGCUGAAGGAGCUAUUCUAAUAUCUGAUUAAAUAGACUUUCAACCAAAAUUAAUAAGAGAUGGGGCCGGCACUUCAUACUCAUCAAAGGAAAGAUCAACCAAGAUGACAUCUGAAUUCUGAACAUCUAUCCCCCAAAUGCAAUGGCACUCACAUUUGUAAAAUAAACAUUACUAAAGCUUAAAUCACACAUUAAACCCCAUAUGUUCAUAGUAGGAGACUUCAACAUACCUCUCUCCACAAUGGGCAGAUAUCAUGGAGACAGAAACUCGACAGAGAAAUUAGGAAACUAACCAACAUUACGAAUCAAUUGGACCUAACAAACAUCAACAGAUCAUUCCGUCCAAAUACAAAAGAAUAUACCUUCUUCUCAGCACCUCACAGAAACUUCUCUAAAACUGACCACAUCCUUGGACACAAAGUAAGCCUCAAAAAAUACAAGAAAAUUGAAAUAACACUUUGUGUUCUAGCAGACUACCAUGGAUUAAAAUUAGACUUCAACAACAACAGAAACAGUAGAAUGUCUACAAACUCAUGGUAACUGAACAAUAUUCUACUUAGUGACACUGGGUCAGGGAAUGAAUAAAGAAGGAAAUUAAAGACUUUCUAGAAUUCAAUGAAAAUGAUGGCACAACAUACCAAAACUCUGAGACACAAUGAAAGCAGUGGUAAAAGUUCAGAGGACUAAAAGCCUUCAUAAAAAAUGUGUAGAGAGCUCAUACUAGCAACUUAAAAGCUCACCUGAAAACUAUAUAUAUAUAUAUAUAUAUAUAUAUAUAUAUAUAUAUAGGAAUCAAACACACCCAAGAGGAAAUAAUCAAACACAGGACUGAAAUCAAUAAUCCAGAAACAAAGAGAACAAUACAAAGGAUUAACAAAACCAAUAGCUGCAUUUCUUUUUUUUGUUUUGUUUUUAGAAAAUCAACAAGAUAGAAAAAUGUUUAACCAAACUAACUGAAAGAGAGAGGGAUAGUAUCCAAAUCAAAAAACUCAGAAAAGAAAAGUGGGCUAUAACAACAGACACCAAGGAAAUCCAAAGAAUCAUUAGACCACACUUCAAAAAUCUGAAUGCCACAAAAUUGGAAAAUCUAAAUGAAAUGAAUGCUUUUCUUGAUAGAUACCACUUACUAAAGUUAAAUGAAGACCAGGUUAACAAUUUAAAUAAACCUAUAACCCCUAAGGAAAGAGAAGCAGUCUUCAGAAGCAUCCUAACCAAGAAAAGCCCUGGGCAAGGUGGUUUGAGCACAGAAUUCUACCAGACUUUCAAUGAAGUGCUAACACCAAUACUCCUUAGACUAUCCCACAAAAUAGAAACAGCAAAGUGUCUGGAUACAAAAUUAACUCAAAAAAGUCAGUAACCCUCCUUUAUACAAGGUACAAAAGGACUGAGAAAGAAAUAAGGAAACAACAUCCUUCACAAUAGCCACAAAUAAUAUAAAAUAUCUUGGUAUAAUGCUACCCAAGCAAGUGAAAGGCUUGUAUGACAAGAACUUCAACUCUUUGAAGAAAGAAGCUGAAGAAAAUUUUAGAAGAUGGAAACAUCUCCAAUGCUUGUGGAUCAGUUGGAUUAACAGUAAAAUGGUCAUCCUGCCAAACCCCACCAAUGCAAUUCCGAUCAAAAUUCUAAGACAAUUCUUUACAUACCUGGAAAGAACAACCAUUAACUUUAUACAGAAAAAUAAAAAAGCCACUAUGGCAAAAACAAUUCUGUACAAUAAAAGAAUUUCUGGCGAUAUCAACAUCCCUUAUUUUAAAGCUAUGUUUCAGAGCAAUAGUAAAAAACAAAAACAAAAACAAAAAAACCACACACACACACAUACACAUACAACAACAAAAAACUGAAUGGUAUUGGCAUAGAAACAGACAGGUUGAUCAAAUAAACACACACUCCUAUGGGUACUUGAUUUUAGACAAAGAAGCCAAAACCAUCCUCUAGCUGAGACUCCUAACAGGGGUGUCGGGGAGGGGGACAUGAAGACUGAAGUGACCACCUCCUAUUCAGGUGGGAAUAGUGGAAGAAGGGGACCAACAGUCCACCAACAAAACCUGUGAUCCAAAAUCACCCUGCCUACAAGAAGUGUAGUGAUAAAGAAGGAACACAGAUUGAGGGACUGUCCAACCAAUAAUUGGUCCAACCUGAGACCCACCCUGAGGUAGAGAGCCAGGCCCUAAUAUUAGUAAUGAUGCUCUGCUAUGUCUGCAGACAGGAGCCUAACUUGACUGUCAUCUGGGAGGCUCCAGCCAGCAGCAGAUCAUUGAGACAGAUGCUGGGCCUUGCAGCCAAGCAUGGGGCAGAGCUCUGGGGGUCCCGUGGAAGUGUUGCAGAAAAGGUGAAAGGACCUGGAGGAGACAGGAAUCUCACAAGAAGACAGAGACUUCUUACCCAGAGACAACUUACCCAGACCCAUGGAAGAUUAGA